CCUACGGGUGGCUGCAGUGGGGGAUAUUGCACAAUGGGGGGAACCCUGAUGCAGCGACGCCGCGUGGGUGAAGAAGCGCCUCGGCGCGUAAACCACUGUCCCCAGGGACGAAGAUGACGGUACCUGGGGAGGACGCUCCGGCUAACUACGUGCCAGCAGCCGCGGUCAUACGUAGGGAGCGAGCGUUGUCCGGAAUUACUGGGUGUAAAGGGAGCGUAGGCGGGACUGCAAGUUGGGUGUCAAAUCUACCGGCUCAACCGGUAGCCGCACUCAAAACUGCAGUUCUUGAGUGAAGUAGAGGCAGGCGGAAUUCCUAGUGUAGCGGUGAAAUGCGUAGAUAUUAGGAGGAACACCAGUGGCGAAGGCGGCCUGCUGGGCUGUUACUGACGCUGAGGCUCGAAAGUGUGGGGAGCAAACAGGAUUAGAUACCCGGGUAGUC
rnacentral:rRNA from 1 species